GGGGCUGUUCUGGUUUUUGACAGCAGGUAGAAGAGGUAUGUAAGCAUGCAGUGUAUUGUCGUAUAGCACUUUAAUCAUAGACGGCAACAACAAUAACUGGCGAAACUAAUUACGCUCUCGCUGCUUGAUUGAAGUUUAGUAGAUCAGCUUAAUUCCGGUACAAGGUGCCGGAACGAGACAUCUCUCGAAUGCCAUUCCCUGAAGCGGUUCGGUAUAGAGGUGUGGAAAAAUCGGGGAUAGCGGGCGAUGGCCGUGCAUGGCUCGCGAAAAUUUAGCGGAUAAGGUGUCGGUUGGUGGCUUCGGUCUUGCCGAUACACGAAAAUGAAGGCGAAGAUAAGCAUGUAGAAAGCAUAUUGCUUCCUUGUUUGGACACGGGUUCGACCCCCGUCAGCUCCAC
rnacentral:tmRNA from 1 species